CCGUUUCACAAAGCAGGUUCAACAAGUUUUCGGUUCCAGAACAGCUGAUUUGAGUUGGUUUAAUCAACUCGGAGUAGUUUCACCCGGAGUUAAGCGCGUGCACCACAACUCUGAAAAGCCACUCUCAAUGGAGCGCCGAUUCGACGAGUCACCAUGGCAACGGGGAAGCGGAGGGCUGCGUUUUUCGCCCCACUUGAAUUGGAAAUCUUAAUGCACUUAUAUAGCGAGUUUGAACACGUUUUUAGAAAGAAGUGCAACACCUGCAGCUGCAAAAGAGAGGGAGACGGUGUGGGAGAACAUUGCUGCCCGGGUCAAUGUGAUGAAGAGGAUGAAACUGUGUCUGCUGCCUUUACAGAGAGGGAUCCAGAAAGGCAUAUAGAGCAUGGCUGGACAGCAGCAGGAUGGUCCCUCAGCUUCCUCUGCACAGAUUGACUCAGUGAGAUGGAUGUUCAGUAAACACCAGAGGUUCAGUCCGUGGAAUUCAUGUGCAACUGUAUAAUUUAAUGUCCUCUAUAUAUUCCCAGUUAUCAGUAAAACAGAUUUAGAAAAUGCACUUGCUGAAAAAAAUCCAGAAAAAGGAUAAAGAAAUGCAAUACUUGGACCGCCAGAUUAAGAAGGCAGAUCUGGAAAUUGAAACACUGUAGCACAAGUUAGAGGUGGGUGCAGGUCACAGGUGAAUUAUGUUAACUACUGGAACAUUAACUAAAUUAGCUCUUUUAUUUGUAGGAAAUAAAGAAGACCAAAUGAAAUGUGUAUCGUGUUUAUUUGACUGCUGUGGUGGUGAUGAUGGAGACUUAAACUCCGAAGUGAUUAUGGCAUAUGGUGUCUCUGACUGCUCUGCUGUCCUGGAUAGCUGGCAGGUGGAUGAGGUCAUCAUCUGGGUCUUCAGUUUGUAGGGCAAAGUGUUGUUCUCCUCUAAUAGUGGUAAUAUUAUGAAGAACAACACAUGCCACAAUAAUAUCACAGGCCUCUCAGGAGUCACCCUGAGGUGAUGUAGACACUGGAAACAGGCUUUCAGCAGGUCUAUGGUCAUCUUCACCCAGGCUCUCGUCUUGCAGUGAGCCCGGUUGAAGUUCUGUUGGGGGCCUGGUUCAGGGUCAGGGUAUGAGGUCAUUGGGUUGGCAUGGUAACCCCUGUCACCCAGCAGAAGACCAUCAAACUCUCCUGUAAUGUAUAGUGGAUACAUUAGAGUAUAUUUAAGGAGGGAGACAAGUGAAUUAUAUUGUUAAAAUCUUUAGGAUGCCUACCACGUUGCAGUCUGUUGCUCAGGUUAGACUCAUAAUAAAUCCUCCAGUCAUGAACAGACCCAGACCACUUGGCCUCCACAUUGGAAAUGAUGUAUGCAGCAUCACAUACGGUCUUGACAGUGCAGAGAAUGACAGAUGUUGAACUAUGAUGCAGUCUUUAACAUUUUGAAACUGUAGUCAAUCUACCUGUAGCCUACCUGCACAUUUAUGCUGUGAAUGGACUUCCUGUUCACAUAAUUGCCUUCAUUAUGUGAGGGAGCUGUGAUGGGGGUGUGUGUGCCAUCUAUGCAGCUAAUCACACUGAGAAAUCCUAAAAGAAAUUAAAAUUACUAAUCCCAGUCUGAGGUUGCAGCACGAUGUCAUUAACAGAAUAUGAUUUUAAUUUAACAGAUCUCUACAUCAUUCACCUGCAAUCCUGUGGAACUCCUCCUUGAUGGCUCUGACAGGUUUAUGUCCAGGGAAAACCACAAAGAUGGGUAAAAGCCUUCAGGGCCAGGCAAACUUUUCUGACCAUCCUGCAUACAGUUGCCUUACUGAAGUGCUCUGCAUCUCUGACAUUAUAUAAAAAACUUCCAUUUGCAAAGAACCGCAGUGCAGGACACAAUAUCUGCUGGGAUGUGAGAGCAUGACUGCGGCUGGUAAUGUUGCAAAUGUAAGGACGGAUUAGGUUGUGGAUGUAGAUUAUGGAUUGUGAGGUGAAACGGUACCGCUCAAAAAGAUAAUUGUCCGGAAAUGCAAGAACAUCUAUGUGCGGUCUGAUAACAAUCUCCUGACAAAUAUUUAAUUCUCUGUGCAGUAAUGCUGCUUCUUCAUCCACUGGAUCGUUAAUGAAAGGACAUGACAUUUUGACGGACGGCAGAACUAGGCUACGCCAAAACUUGGCAGCUGACUGAAUGAAUGAAUGAGGAAAAGGAUGUAUGCUGUCAUCACAUAUGUAAAUUAAAUGUGCCGUCAUCACGUAUGUAAAUUGAAUGUGCUAUCAUCGCAUAUGCAAAUUCUGAAGAGAGCAGUUAUGGUAUAAAAUGCACCUGUUAGAAAGAAUUUGUUUGGAGUUGUUGCGAGGUAGUCACUUGAUGCAAGCAAGACAACAGUUCUGAGCAUGAGGGAUUUUACCACGUAACUUUGGAUGGGUGAUUCAACAUGAUCUGCAAAGGAAUAUCUGUUCUACUGUAAUUAUGGACUAAAGGAUUGCUCUUUCUACACUGUUUGAGGAUUACAGAACUGUGAUCUAAAAAUAACACUGAAGGAACGUUACUGAACUCUAUUAUUUCCAAAGGAACGACACCAGAGUGGAUUAUAACAAAGUUCUUUAUUGACCCAACAACAAAAAAGGAUACAAGCAAAUCGAAAUCUGGACUGAACUCUCUCUCCAGCUUCCCCCUGGACUCCGGAGAGCCUCAGAGGCUGGUUGGAUUUCAGGUGAGCAGCCGGGUGUGCACGCCGUCUGCUCCCCACUACAAAUUACAUAGUCUGGGUGAUUACUACUCUUCUUAUAUGAAAGCAUAGUACCAGUUAGGAAUCAUGAUAAGAGAUUGAGAUAUUAAUUAAUGUUUGAUUAAUUGUCCGAUGAUCUAUUCACUAUUGCUGUUUCCCUGCUGAGAUAUAUUUUAAUAAAGCAUUUGUCCUGCAAUUAAA